rnacentral:rRNA from 1 species
CCCAGACUCCUACGGGAGGCAGCAGUGGGGGAUAUUGCACAAUGGGGGAAACCCUGAUGCAGCGACGCCGCGUGAGUGAAGAAGUAUUUCGGUAUGUAAAGCUCUAUCAGCAGGGAAGAAAAAAGACGGUACCUGACUAAGAAGCCCCGGCUAACUACGUGCCAGCAGCCGCGGUAAUACGUAGGGGGCAAGCGUUAUCCGGAUUUACUGGGUGUAAAGGGAGCGUAGACGGCAAUACAAGUCGGAAGUGAAAUACCCGGGCUCAACCUGGGAACUGCUUUGGAAACUGUAUGGCUGGAGUGCUGGAGAGGUAAGCGGAAUUCCUAGUGUAGCGGUGAAAUGCGUAGAUAUUAGGAGGAACACCAGUGGCGAAGGCGGCUUACUGGACAGUAACUGGCGUUGAGGCUCGAAAGCGUGGGGAGCAAACAGGAUUAGAUACCCUAGUA